UGAAAUGGUCAGAGGGUUUACUGUGUCCUGUGGUGGCUGCAGGUCUAAACACAAAUUCACCUAAGGUAGAGUUUUUGUUUUUUGUUUAAUGGAUGAAUGCCACCUCCCAGUGGUUCCUGGUGGGACUAGUGAUAGGAAUGAAUGGUGGAAUGGUGGUAUGAGUGGUUGAGAAUGGUCCUGGACAGGAAAGGGGAAUAAAGGGAUGAACCUGUUUGUUUAUUAUGUCUGUAAACCUGGUCUCCAUGAACAUGGACUUUUAAAGAAGAAUAAAAUUGACAUAGCUUUAAUACAGGAAACCUAUUGGAAAGAUUCAGCAAUUAGGCUUUGGAAAUAUGCAAAAUAAAGAUGGGUACUUAUAAUUUUAUUGAAAGGAAUGAAAUUUGAGCAAAUAUAUGUAGAAAGAUGACAAAGGGUGAUAUUUAAUCCUGAUAGCAAAAAAUAAUUAUAUAUUUUACACAAUCAUUAAUUUAUAUGCUCCAAAUCAAACUCCAACAAAAGUUCUGAACAAACUCAUAAAAACUUAAAAAUAUGCAUGGCAUGUAAUUGGAAAAUUAAAGGUAAACCACUACAGCCGGUAAUAUUACAACAAUUUGACUUUCAACAUAGAAUGGAGGCAGGCUUUUUCAAUGAAAGGUACAGUUUGAUAAACAUAUGGAGAUAUAGACUCCAUGGAGGCAGUAUAGAGAUAGAACUAAUUGUAAUUAUUUUAUAGGACUUGCAAUCUGAACCUUCCUCUUCUCUCUCCCUCUUACAUCUUAAUACUACGACAGAGUAUGAAUGGAGUUGAAUAAAAUACUCUUUUUUUCUUUCUUUUUUCUCUUCUGGAUGUCAUACUGCAUAUCUAGGGUGGAACCUUUUUUUAUGAAAUAUUGAAUUUUCAUUUUCUCCUUUAAUGAUGUUUGGAACUGUACGUUUACUAUAUCUAAUAACUAGAUAAUUUGGAAAACAUUGUAUUCUAAUCUUUUCAAUAAAAAAUGUAUAGAAAUUUCCAGUUCACCAUGUGUCACAGUGUCAGGUAAACCAGCUUGUGCUAGCCUUAGCAUGCUUGUUUUGAUUUGUGUUUUAGACUGCCAUUUCUGUUGCCAGGAAAAAAAUAGGAUGUAAUGGAGAAGAGGCUGUGGUUUUUUGUUUCGUUUGUUUGAUGGGAGCAAGUAGGCAUCUUAGUUUGCCCCCACCAAAUUAAGAUCAUCCCAAUGAUGUGGCCUGCAAUUCCUAUCCAAUCAACAUGAAGGUAAAAGGAAAAAAUAUGAUUGAUGGUUAGGGGAGAGACACUAUUUUAUUCACAAGACAAAUGACAACUGACCAACAGAAGGAAAAAGGAGGCACACUAAAACAAAUGACACUUUGACUGCAGCUAUUGAGGGAGACAGAUCAGCAGUAGUGAUGUCCCGAACGGUUCUCCGAACGGUUUGACGCGGACGGCCAACAUAUGCGCUGUUUGGUCCGCCUCCUAUGUCAUCAUUGAGUAAACUUUGACCCUGUAC